UUUCCGGUAGGUAAGGCUACCACAGGGAUUUAGGUUGCUGCCGCAAAAUAGUGGAGACACUAUGCGCUGGUCAACAGGCGAUGUCGAAUGAACAAGGCAUCGUUUAACGCAAUGACAGGCCCUGUGAUGCUAAAGCUUGAACGGCGG
rnacentral:sRNA from 1 species